UCGAGAAUAUUCCGCAAUGCACGAAAGUGUGACGGAGCGACGCCGCGUGUCGGAAGAAGGCCUUCGGGUUGUAAACGACUUUUAUCAGGGACGAAUUUUGACGGUACCUGAAGAAUAAGGGGUUGCUAACUCUGUGCCAGCAGCAGCGGUAAUACAGAGACCCCGAGCAUUAUCCGGAUUUAUUGGGCGUAAAGCGUUCGUAGGUGGUUUUGUAAGUCAUUUGUUAAAUCUUCAUGCUCAACAUGGAGGCUGCAGGUGAUACUGUAAAACUCGAGUACGGGAGAGGCAUAUGGAAUGCCCGGUGUAGCGGUAAAAUGCGUUAAUAUCGGGUAGAACACCAAAGGCGAAGGCAAUAUGCUGGAACGUCACUGACACUCAAGAACGAAAGCGUGGGUAGCGA
rnacentral:rRNA from 1 species